rnacentral:rRNA from 1 species
UACGUAGGGGGCUAGCGUUGUCCGGAUUUAUUGGGCGUAAAGAGCGUGUAGGCGGCCGGGUAAGUCCGCUGUGAAAGUCGGGGGCUCAACCCUCGAAUGCCGGUGGAUACUGUCGGGCUAGAGUGCGGAAGAGGCGAGUGGAAUUCCUGGUGUAGCGGUGAAAUGCGCAGAUAUCAGGAGGAACACCAAUUGCGAAGGCAGCUCGCUGGGACGUGACUGACGCUGAGACGCGAAAGCGUGGGGAGCAAACAGG